rnacentral:rRNA from 2 species
CUCCACCGAGAAAAAGAAGAGUGGCGAACGGGUGAGUAACACGUGGGUAACCUGCCCAUCAGAAGGGGAUAACACUUGGAAACAGGUGCUAAUACCGUAUAACAAUCGAAACCGCAGGUUUUGAUUUGAAAGGCGCUUUCGGGUGUCGCUGAUGGAUGGACCCGCGGUGCAUUAGCUAGUUGGUGAGGUAACGGCUCACCAAGGCCACGAUGCAUAGCCAACCUGAGAGGGUGAUCGGCCACAUUGGGACUGAGACACGGCCCAAACUCCUACGGGAGGCAGCAGUAGGGAAUCUUCGGCAAUGGACGAAAGUCUGACCGAGCAACGCCGCGUGAGUGAAGAAGGUUUUCGGAUCGUAAAACUCUGUUGUUAGAGAAGAACAAGGAUGAGAGUAACUGUUCAUCCCUUGACGGUAUCUAACCAGAAAGCCACGGCUAACUACGUGCCAGCAGCCGCGGUAAUACGUAGGUGGCAAGCGUUGUCCGGAUUUAUUGGGCGUAAAGCGAGCGCAGGCGGUUUCUUAAGUCUGAUGUGAAAGCCCCCGGCUCAACCGGGGAGGGUCAUUGGAAACUGGGAGACUUGAGUGCAGAAGAGGAGAGUGGAAUUCCAUGUGUAGCGGUGAAAUGCGUAGAUAUAUGGAGGAACACCAGUGGCGAAGGCGGCUCUCUGGUCUGUAACUGACGCUGAGGCUCGAAAGCGUGGGGAGCAAACAGGAUUAGAUACCCUGGUAGUCCACGCCGUAAACGAUGAGUGCUAAGUGUUGGAGGGUUUCCGCCCUUCAGUGCUGCAGCUAACGCAUUAAGCACUCCGCCUGGGGAGUACGACCGCAAGGUUGAAACUCAAAGGAAUUGACGGGGGCCCGCACAAGCGGUGGAGCAUGUGGUUUAAUUCGAAGCAACG